rnacentral:rRNA from 1 species
AUCUCUUGGUUCUGGCAUCGAUGAAGAACGCAGCGAAAUGCGAUAAGUAAUGUGAAUUGCAGAAUUCAGUGAAUCAUCGAAUCUUUGAACGCACAUUGCGCCCUUUGGUAUUCCGAAGGGCAUGCCUGUUCGAGCGUCAUUACAACCC